rnacentral:lncRNA from 1 species
UACAAGCUCGACAGGGGCGACAGCACCCUCCUUCCUCUUGCUCUGGCCUGCUUCUGGCUCCCACUUAGGUGGGAGUCCUAAGUCUACACUGCCCCCUCACCCCUGCCCCUCCAGCACUCCUAAGAGCAAAAGACCACUUCUCUCCUUCCCGGGUCUACACACACCCACUUCCACAUUCCCCAGUCUGCCACCAAGCCAGACGAACUGCCACAUGGAAUCGGGCCCAUGUGUCAAGAACUGCAUCGGCAGGCAGUACAUCUCACUGCAGCUUGCACAGGGACUCUGGAAGGCCUCAAUCCUUUCUGAGGCUGUGCCAGACCC